GGGGGAUCCACCUCUUUCCAUUCCGAACAGAGAAGUUAAGCCCCUGAGUGCCGAUGGUACUGCCUUAUGGUGGGAGAGUAGGUUGGCGCCGAAU
rnacentral:rRNA from 1 species